CGGCUCUCCCUUUGCUUCUUCGGUUGCAGUCCUCUUGCUUCUUGCGCGUGCGUGUAGCGCUUUUGCAAAGCCGCGGAGGUGAAGUGAACUUAGAGGUUGUGGGGCCGAGGGGUCGUCUUAUAGCUACCAGCCCACAGGCAUUUAGUCUACGUUGGAGGUAAACAAAUACGGGUCCUGCUUAGGAGAAAAGAAAAACGUCUUACAGCCAGUGUCUAAACUCCAAACAACGGAAUGUAUCAAUGAGACCUUGUAUAUGGAUACACGUGCAUUUAAAACCGCCCUGCCGGCUUGUAGAGCUUUUGCCGUUCUCCAGCGCUUUACAGGGGUUAUCGCACUUAAGCCUCGGAACAACUUUACCAGAUGAGGACACCUGAGGUUCAGAUUAAGAAAUCUGCCCCAAAGUCUUAGAACUGGUUGAUUCUACCAGAAAGGAAUGAAGAACAGAACCUUCAGGAAUUGAGUCACAAUGCAGACAAAUAUCAAAUGGGAGAUUGUUGCAAGGAAGAGAUUGAUGAUAGUAUUUUCUACUAGCCAUUGGGAAGAUAAAAGGAGACAGAAGAUUGAAGCCUUUGCCAGCCAUUCUUUCCCUUUUUGCUUCCAAACUCCUCAACUGGGAACCUUCAUAUGUGCAGUAUUUAUAUUGGAUCAUACUGGUGAUUAUAAAAGUUCCUAGGAGGCUAGAAGAGCCAACCAACAGAGAAGGGAAAGCAGUCUGUUCUGAACAUAGGGACAUAAGUUCAUUCAUGCCAAGUAUCUUUCCAGCAUGUUUCUCCCAUUUAGAAUAUCUAGCAUGUAAGGCCUUUCAAUAUUAAUAUAAGCCCAAUAUCAGCUCUUUCUCUUUGUAUUUCAUCUCUUUCUACUCUCCUAUUUGUAUUUUGUGUUCCUAUCAAAGUGUCGUAUCUGGGAGAUGACCUGCCUUAUCCUGUUCUAUAACAGUUUUGUUUGCUGCUGUGUCUUUAGAACAGUGCCUGGCACACAGUAAGCACUCAAU
rnacentral:lncRNA from 10 species